rnacentral:tRNA from 1 species
GCCAGCAUGGCAUAGUGGUUUGAGUGUUAGACUACAACUCUGGAGACCAGGAUUUGAUUCCUAGUUUGGCC